UACGUAGGGGCAAGCGUUGUCCGGAUUAUUGGGCGUAAAGAGCGUGUAGGCGGCUAGAUAGGUCCGUUGUGAAAACUCGAGGCUCAACCUCGAGACGCCGAUGGAAACCAUCCAGCUAGAGUCCGGAAGAGGAGAGUGGAAUUCCCGGUGUAGCGGUGAAAUGCGCAGAUAUCGGGAAGAACACCCGUGGCUAAGGCGGCUCUCUAGUACGGUACUGACGCUGAGACGCGAAAGCGUGGGGAGCGAACAGG
rnacentral:rRNA from 1 species